rnacentral:rRNA from 1 species
GGAUGAACGUUGGCGGCGUGCCUAAUACAUGCAAGUCGAACGAAGACUGUAGUAAUACUGUCUUAGUGGCGAACGGGUGAGUAACGCGUGGGUGACCUGCCCCGAAGUGUGGGAUAACAGUCCGAAAGGAUUGCUAAUACUGCAUAAUAUCCAAGAGAUUAGACGCUUUUGGAUUAAAGGAGUAAUUCGCUUCGGGAGGGGCCCGCGUCCCAUCAGCUAGUUGGUAAGGUAAUGGCUUACCAAGGCGAUGACGGGUAGGGGACCUGAGAGGGUGGCCCCCCACAAUGGAACUGAAACACGGUCCAUACACCUACGGGUGGCAGCAGUAGGGAAUAUUAGUAAUGGGCGAAAGCCUGAUCUAGCAACACCGCGUGUGCGAAGAAGGCCUUCGGGUCGUAAAGCACUUUUUGGAAGGAAUAGGAAGGAAUGUACUUCCAGAAUAAGUCUCGGCUAACUACGUGCCAGCAGCCGCGGUAACACGUAGGAGGCAAACGUUAUCCGGAUUUACUGGGCGUAAAGCGCGUGUAGGUGGUUCUGUAAGUAGGGCGUGAAAGCUCCCGGCUCAACUGGGAGAGGCCGUUCUAAACUACAGAACUAGAGGAUGGUAGAGGGAGGUGGAAUUCCAGGUGUAGCGGUGGAAUGCGCAGAUAUCUGGAGGAACACCAGUGGCGAAGGCGGCCUCCUGGACCAUUCCUGACACUCAGACGCGAAAGCUAGGGUAGCAAACGGGAUUAGAGACCCCGGUAGUCCUAGCCCUAAACGAUGUAGACUAGGCGUCGGAAGUUUAAUCACUUUCGGUGUCCAAGCUAACGCGAUAAGUCUACCGCCUGGGGACUACGGCCGCAAGGUUAAAACUCAAGGGAAUUGACGGGUCCCCGCACAAGCAGCGGAGCGUGUGGUUUAAUUCGUUGCUACACGAAGAACCUUACCUGGGUUUGACAUAGCAGUGGUAGGGAAGCGAAAGCGGACCGACCCUUCGGGGAGCUGUUACAGGUGUUGCAUGGCUGUCGUCAGCUCGUGUCGUGAGAUGUUCGGUUAAGUCCGCUAACGAGCGCAACCCGCGUUGUGUGUUACAAGUGUCACACAAUACCGCCGGUAUUAAGUCGGAGGAAGGUGCGGAUGACGUCAAGUCAGCAUGACCUUUAUAUCCAGGGCUACACACACGCUACAAUGGUCAGCACAAUAGGUUGCCAAGUCGUGAGACGGAGCCAAUCCUCCAAAGCUGGCCUCAGUUCAGAUUGUAGGCUGCAACCCGCCUGCAUGAAGUUGGAGUUGCUAGUAACCGCAGGUCAGCUAUACUGCGGUGAAUACGUUCCCGGGGAU